rnacentral:rRNA from 1 species
GUAAGGAAUAUUGGACAAUGGGGGAAACCCUGAUCCAGCCAUGCCGCGUGAGUGAAGAAGGCCUUCGGGUUGUAAAGCUCUUUCAGAUGUGAAGAUGAUGACGGUAACAUCAGAAGAAGCUCCGGCUAACUUCGUGCCAGCAGCCGCGGUAAUACGAAGGGAGCGAGCGUUGUUCGGAAUCACUGGGCGUAAAGAGUGCGUAGGCGGUUAUACAAGUCAGGAGUGAAAUCCCAGGGCUCAACCCUGGAAUUGCUUUUGAAACUGUAUAGCUAGAGUCCCGGAGGGGUUAAUGGAAUUCCGAGUGUAGAGGUGAAAUUCGCAGAUAUUCGGAGGAACACCAGUGGCGAAGGCGAUUAACUGGACGGGCACUGUCGCUGAGGCACGAAAGCGUGGGGAUCAAACAGGAUUAGAUACCCGGGUAGUCC